CUUUACAUGAUAUUGUAAGUAAUUUUACGGAAGGGUACUUCAACACUACUUAAACGAGUUUAUCGCUGACCAGAGAGUUGAUUUGCAACAUAUCCAUAAGUCUUGUGCAAAGAGAUUUUUGUCUUUCAACAAUUAUCUUCUGAGAUUUCAAGUAAAAGAACCUAAAUCAACGAAAUAUUUUACAAAAUAGAGAAAAUAUGAUAUGAUCUUUGACGUCAUAGAGCCAGCCGGUUGAAGGAGAUUUCUUUUGAAAUUAUCAUGGAUGCAAGUGAGAUCAACAGAAGUGAUACUGUCAAAAUUCAUUGUAAUAACUAACAAGACGUAUGAUAUACGCAAACAACCUCGCGAAUAAAGUUUACAAAAAGCUGUCUAUCAAAUUGCGAUUUUUGUUACGAAGUUAGACACGACAUAUUUUACUAUUCAGAUACGCAAUAAUAUUUGUUACACACUUAUUUUUCAAAAUUGGUUUGUGAGACCUUCCUGAACGGAAAAUUCCUCGAACUUUUAAUUUUCGAUGGGUCCGUCUUGGGUGAACCGACUGACAGGAAGAAGAAAGACCACAAACCCACAAAACCCAAAAUUUGCGAAAUUCAUUAAUUCAGUUAAUUCUGCCUACAUUCACUUUUAAAAAGUUUGGUGGAAACACCUUUAUUUAUUAGUUAGUUAAACAAGUGUUUUGAACACUUGUCUUAUCUUUUUAAAAAAGAAAAAAGAAAAAAAAAGUAAAAAUAGUUACCAAGAUGAGAUUCGAACACACGACGACUCCCGUGUCGGUGCUCAGAGAGGCAAAAAUUUCCAUUCUUGUAGGACACAUUUGCGUUUUAAUACAAGCUCACGAGCUUGUAACAAAUG